GACAGAGGGUGCAAACGUUGUUCGGAAUUACUGGGCGUAAAGCGCGUGUAGGCUGCCUUGUAAGUCGGAUGUGAAAGCCCUGGGCUCAACCUAGGAAGUGCAUUCGAAACUACGAGGCUCGAGUCCUGGAGAGGAAGGCGGAAUUCUCGGUGUAGAGGUGAAAUUCGUAGAUAUCGAGAGGAACACCGGUGGCGAAGGCGGCCUUCUGGACAGUGACUGACGCUGAGACGCGAAAGCGUGGGGAGCAAACAGG
rnacentral:rRNA from 1 species